UUGGAGGGCAAGUCUGGUGCCAGCAGCCGCGGUAAUUCCAGCUCCAAUAGCGUAUAUUAAAGUUGUUGUGGUUAAAAAGCUCGUAGUUGAAUUUCGGGAUCAGUAUGUUGGUCGUGCUUCGGUACGUACUGUCAUUACUGGUUUCUCCCUUCUGAAGAACCUUGAUGUCAUUAAUUUGGUGUCUUGGGGAAUCAGGACUGUUACUUUGAAAAAAUUAGAGUGUUUAAAGCAGGCAUACGCUUGAAUACAUUAGCAUGGAAUAAUGAAAUAGGACGUUUGAUUCUAUUUUGUUGGUUUCUAGGAUCGACGUAAUGAUUAAUAGGGAUAGUUGGGGGCAUUAGUAUUCAAUUGUCAGAGGUGAAAUUCUUGGAUUUAUUGAAGACUAACUACUGCGAAAGCAUUUGCCAAGGAUGUUUUCAUUAAUCAAGAACGAAAGUUAGGGGAUCGAAGACGAUCAGAUACCGUCGUAGUCUUAACCAUAAACUAUGCCGACUAGGGAUCGGAUGAUGUUAAUUUUUUAAUGACUCAUUCGGCGCCUUACGGGAAACA
rnacentral:rRNA from 1 species